rnacentral:misc_RNA from 1 species
GAUGAAGAACGCAGUGAAAUGCGAUAAGUAAUGUGAAUUGCAGAAUUCAGUGAAUCAUCGAAUCUUUGAACGCACAUUGCGCCCAUUAGUAUUCUAGUGGGCAUGCCUGUUCGAGCGUCAUUAAGUCCACUUAAGCCCUGCUUAGUGUUGGGAGACUGCUCCAGCGGUGCUACCCUGUAGCUACCCUGCAGCUCCUCAAAGACAGCGGCGGAGUUGUGGUAUCCUCUGAGCUUAGUAACUUGUUCUAGCUUUCGAGUACACCACUUCCCCUGCCGUAAAACCCUCAAUUUUUAAUGGUUGACUUCGGAUCAGGUAGGAAUACCCGCUGAACUUAAGCAUAUCAAUAAGCGGAGGA